rnacentral:lncRNA from 1 species
GUGGUGAUCCAAGCUCGAGUAAUACUUUAAGGUAGAAGGAGUAGUAGAUAGUGCUAAAGUUUGAACAGUGAUGAUUCAUCUUGAAGAAGGGCACUGGAGUGGCACCAAUUUUUCACUCAAAACAAGGACGACUACAUAUAUUGAAAUGGACCUGCUAUACCCAUAGCAUGAAGGAGAGGUUUGACUCAAGCUCCUUCUGAGAUUCCAGGGCUGAACUAGUCACUUUGAAGCGACAGGGAGCCGUGAAGCAAUACCAUGAUGUGUUUGCAAGUUUAUUGAACCAACUACAAUUGCC